CUGUAAUAAGGAGAGAAGGUUGACACUCCUCUUGACAAGGAUGGGAGAGAUCCUAGUGGCCUUAUUAUACUGUACGUUCGUUUUCGUUCAUUUUU